CGGGGUAUAGCUCAGUUGGCUCAGAGCGCGCGAUUCGGGUUCGCGAGGCCGCAGGUUCGAGUCCUGCUACCCCGACCA
rnacentral:tRNA from 1 species